AUUGAACGCUGGCGGCAGGCCUAACACAUGCAAGUCGAACGAGUGGCGGACGGGUGAGCAAUGUCUGGGAACCUGCCUGAUGGAGGGGGAUAACUACCGGAAACGGUAGCUAAUAACGCAUACCAUCAGAUGUGUCUAGAUGGGAUUGGCGUGUUGGUGGGGUAACGGCGCACCAAGGCGACGAUCCCUAACUGGUCUGAGAGGGUGACCAGCCACACUGGAACUGAGACACGGUCCAGACUCCUACGGGAGGCAGCAGGGGGGAAUAUUGCACAAUGGGCGCAAGCCUGAUGCAGCCAUGCCGCGUGUGUGAAGAAGGCCUUCGGGUUGUAAAGUACUUUCAGCGGGGAGGCGUUACCCGCAGAAGAAGCACCGGCUAACUCCGUGCCAGCAGCCGCGGUAAUUC
rnacentral:rRNA from 1 species